UAGAAAAAAAAAAAGGAGCUAUUUCCAUGGCUUUUUCUUAACAAAAAAACAGAUCUGAAGAAUCAACUGUUUCCAUCGAAGAUUCACAACAAAAAUCAUAGAGAACCCUCUAAGACACACAGUCGUUUCCCCACCAAAAACACGGAUAUCAUCUCCUUCGUGACCCCCCAUCCAAGAACACCCCAGCCGCAAAAACAAAGAGAUCCUUUCCUGAAAUUGAUCUUCUUCUACACCUCAAGACCAUCAGCGAAUUUCACACCCAAAUACCCAUUUUCCAACUGUUUUGCUUCUGCAUCUCACAAUCAACGGCCCCUUCUUCUUUGCCCACACACCCUUGACAUGAGGACAAGCAUCAGUCAUUCAACACACAAACACACUAAUUCAUAGAGAAAUUGGGAUAGAGGGAAAGAAGAAAGAAAGCUAGGAAACAGAUUCCAUUUGAGGCAGUGGGAGUUCGAGUUCAAGCAUUCCGGGUUUCAAUUGUGGUUCUGUGUUUGCCUUGGAUUCGUUGCUAUUUGUUUUAGUUUGUUUGGAUUUAGGAUUCAAAGCUUUAUAGCCAACUUCACUUUUAUUAUCAAAAGGAAAUUCGAUAUCUCAGGUUUGUUUCGAUUUCUCAUAAUUGUCAACAUAUGAUUUUUUGUUUACUCUGAGUUACUAUAAUUUCUUUAUGCAUAAACCAUAGCAGCGGUAUUCAUAAUUUAGAGUUAACGGGUUUGUAAUAGAUUUAUAUUUUACAAUUCUUUUGCAUACGUAUAAGUAAGAGUUGAAAGUGUUAGGAUUUAUUUUGAGUGACUCAAAAGUAAAUAUGCUUUCUGAUAAAAGGAACACGUUAUUAUUUUUUUGAAAAGAUGUGUCCAAUCUUUCUGACUCCUUUGUUUCACUUUCGUUAGUCUG
rnacentral:lncRNA from 1 species